rnacentral:rRNA from 1 species
UUGAUCAUGGCUCAGAUUGAACGCUGGCGGCAGGCUUAACACAUGCAAGUCGAGCGGAGAGAGGUAGCUUGCUACUGAUCUUAGCGGCGGACGGGUGAGUAAUACUUAGGAAUCUGGCUAUUAGUGGGGGACAACAUUUCGAAAGGGAUGCUAAUACCGCAUACGUCCUACGGGAGAAAGCAGGGGAUCUUCGGACCUUGCGCUAAUAGAUGAGCCUAAGUCGGAUUAGCUAGUUGGUGGGGUAAAGGCCUACCAAGGCGACGAUCUGUAGCGGGUCUGAGAGGAUGAUCCGCCACACUGGGACUGAGACACGGCCCAGACUCCUACGGGAGGCAGCAGUGGGGAAUAUUGGACAAUGGGGGGAACCCUGAUCCAGCCAUGCCGCGUGUGUGAAGAAGGCCUUAUGGUUGUAAAGCACUUUAAGCGAGGAGGAGGGUACUGGUAUUAAUACUACCAGGUACUGGACGUUACUCGCAGAAUAAGCACCGGCUAACUCUGUGCCAGCAGCCGCGGUAAUACAGAGGGUGCGAGCGUUAAUCGGAUUUACUGGGCGUAAAGCGUGCGUAGGCGGCUAAUUGAGUCGGAUGUGAAAUCCCCGAGCUUAACUUGGGAAUUGCAUUCGAUACUGGUUAGCUAGAGUGUGGGAGAGGAUGGUAGAAUUCCAGGUGUAGCGGUGAAAUGCGUAGAGAUCUGGAGGAAUACCGAUGGCGAAGGCAGCCAUCUGGCCUAACACUGACGCUGAGGUACGAAAGCAUGGGGAGCAAACAGGAUUAGAUACCCUGGUAGUCCAUGCCGUAAACGAUGUCUACUAGCCGUUGGUCUCU